rnacentral:tRNA from 1 species
AUUUAUAUAGUUUAAAAAAACAAUACAUUUUCAUUGUAUAAUUGAAUUUUUAUUCUAUAAAUU